UACGUAGGGUGCAAGCGUUGUCCGGAAUUAUUGGGCGUAAAGAGCUCGUAGGCGGUCUGUCGCGUCGGAUGUGAAAACUCGGGGCUCAACCCCGAGCCUGCAUUCGAUACGGGCAGACUAGAGUUCGGUAGGGGAGACUGGAAUUCCUGGUGUAGCGGUGAAAUGCGCAGAUAUCAGGAGGAACACCGGUGGCGAAGGCGGGUCUCUGGGCCGAUACUGACGCUGAGGCGCGAAAGCGUGGGGAGCGAACAGG
rnacentral:rRNA from 1 species